UACGUAGGGGGCAAGCGUUGUCCGGAAUCAUUGGGCGUAAAGAGCGUGUAGGCGGCUUGGUAAGUCCGCUGUGAAAGUCCAGGGCUCAACCCUGGAAAGCCGGUGGAAACUGUCAAGCUAGAGUGCGGUAGAGGGUAGUGGAAUUCCCGGUGUAGCGGUGAAAUGCGUAGAGAUCGGGAGGAACACCAGUGGCGAAGGCGGCUACCUGGACCAGCACUGACACUCAGGCACGAAAGCGUGGGGAGCAAACAGG
rnacentral:rRNA from 1 species